CACGUGGGAAUAUGCCUUUUGGUACGGAACAACGCCUGGAAACGGGUGCUAAUGCCGUAUAAGCCCUCCGGGGGAAAGAUUUAUCGCCAAAAGAUUAGCCCGCGCUAGAUUAGCUAGAUGGUGAGGUAAGAGCUCACCAUGGCGACGAUCUAUAGCUGGUUUGAGAGGAUGAUCAGCCACACUGGGACUGAGACACGGCCCAGACUCCUACGGGAGGCAGCAGUGGGGAAUAUUGGACAAUGGGGGCAACCCUGAUCCAGCCAUGCCGCGUGAGUGAUGAAGGCCCUAGGGUUGUAAAAC
rnacentral:rRNA from 1 species